UCCUUCAGUGUCUUUCCUAAAGGUCCAAGG
rnacentral:piRNA from 1 species